ACUGAGAUCUCCCCUCCUUCUCUCUUAAUCUUCCAACGUAGAGAUCAAAAACCCUUACCAGUACUUCGCGAGAAAAUCUCUGCCUUCUCCCUCUCUAUUCGCGAGGAAUUGACGCCUUCGUGAGAAUUGGCCCCUUCUCCCUUCCUCGUCGAUUCUAGACCAAGGUAAUAGCUUUUAUAUGGGUUGAUAUCAGGAUAGAUUCAUUCCAAUUUAUGAUUUGGUGUUCAAUAAUAGCUUUUUUAUAAAUUUUACUUAAUAAGGGCCAAACCCUAUAAUCUGCAAAAUUUUUGUGUCCAAUUUGUGAUUUGGUACUGUAAUUUUGCUUGCUACAUAGUUCUGUUUCUGCACCUAUACCUGCACAGUUGGCUGUUUCUACACCUACACCUGCUCUAUCUUUGUUUCUUGUUCUGCACCUACACCUGCUCAACUAGUGUAACCUAUGUAUGUUAGGUGUUUGUAAAAAUGUCUCAAUAAGGUUAUUUUGAUUAAAACAUGAAAAAGGAGUUCUAUGUAGCAGCUAUAAAGAGGGUCAUGGCUUCCUAGUUAAAAACAUAAAGGGUAGUAGAUCAAAUACAGUUGAAUUCUGUGGCAUGAUUUUUCAGUUGUUCAAUUCCUAGUUAAAAACAUAGAGGUCAGACUCAUUUGUUUUCUUAUUCUUUGAUAUUAUCUUAAGUAUGAGACAAGACUCAUUUGUUUACUUCACAAUUUUAUCAUAUUCUGAAAAGUUAUCUUUCCUCAGUUGUCCUGGUAUUUAUGUUACUGUAAGUGAAUAAUGUUCUUGUUUCUUUCUGUACUUCUCUAUAUUGAAAUUCAUACUCAUAACAUAAAAAACUUUUGCGUUCUACUACAGAUUACGUGGCAGUGGCUUCCUUUUACAAAUUCUACAGGAAAAGACAAUUUGCAACUUUACCACUGGGUAUGCUUCUGUACCUUUUCAAACAUAUGUCCAGGAAUUGUUAAUUGAGCAUGACUCAAGAAAUUUGGCAAAGUUAAUGCUGAAAUUCAUUGAUAUCAAAAGACUAUUGGUAUAUAAAUUUGGAGUACAUGGACAUACUGCUAUCUUUUUCAUUUUUUUCGCCUCAAUCCUCGUUUCCAUCUGUGUUUGCAUUUUUUAUGUGUAGGUCUCUUUGUCAUUCCAUCUGUGUUUGCAUUUUUGCUUAGUUUGGCUUGUUUCUGACUCUCCUAGCAGUGCAGGUCUCUUUGUCAUUCCAUCAUGCCUGCAUAUUGUUUCUUUCUUGAUCCCAGAGUUUAGUAGUAUAUUAAUACUUUGUGACCAUAUCUUUAUCUGUAUGUUGCACAAUUUUUUACAACCAUACCUUUUGCUUGUGACCCUUCAAGCCUUCCAAAAUAUCCUCCCAGCAAAGAGAUGGAUGCUAAACUACGGGAUGAUCGAGGAAAGCUAGAAGGUGUGUAUAUCACUAAAGUUUUUAUUGUACUGACGUUCAGGUUCUGAUGAAAGAACCUUGGAAAGCAGAUCCUUCUGUUGUGGAAAGAACCUUGCUAAACUUCAGUUUUUAUUCACCUCAAUUCCUUCUGUAUUUGUGGAAAGCAGAUCCUAUGUAAUCCAAGAAUGCAUUAAAACUGUUGCAAGGACGGGGGAGAUGUGUUCCCUGAUGUCUUAUUAAUAUGUAUUUUUAAAUUGGAAGUGGAUGAUUUUUGAUAAAUUGCUUAGAGUAAUGAAAGUUGUUACGUGUAAUGAAAACCUUUGAUGUUUGCCCAAGUUUAAUUUUAAUGGAAUUUCUUUUGCCCUUGUUUGGUCAAUUUCUUUGAUGUUGGGUGCAAUGAAAGUUUCGGAAUUGUUGCACUAGUAUGAAAAUUGUUGUCAAUUGUUUCGGCAAAUUGUUUGCUUGAAAUUAGGCAGUAGUUGCUAGAGAAUGUGAUGUCCUGGG
rnacentral:lncRNA from 1 species